UCUUCAUUUCGCGUGCUAUCUCGCCUCUCUAACCGUUGAGAGAGUUUGUGAAAUGAAGAGA
rnacentral:pre_miRNA from 1 species